CAGUACACUCAUCCAUAAAGUAGGAAACACUACACUGUGGCGAGGAGUUUAGUAGUGCUUUCUACUUUAUGGAUGACUGCACUGU
rnacentral:pre_miRNA from 2 species